UACGUAGGGUGCAGGCGUUAAUCGGAAUUACUGGGCGUAAAGCGUGCGCAGGCGGUCUGUUAAGACCGAUGUGAAAUCCCCGGGCUUAACCUGGGAACUGCAUUGGUGACUGGCAGGCUUUGAGUGUGGCAGAGGGAGGUAGAAUUCCACGUGUAGCAGUGAAAUGCGUAGAGAUGUGGAGGAAUACCGAUGGCGAAGGCAGCCGUCCUCGG
rnacentral:rRNA from 1 species